GCUCGUGCGCGGCGGAGAGCUCUUCAACAAGGUCUCCAAAGGUCGGUUGAAGGAGGACGUCGCCAGACUCUACUUCCAGCAGCUGAUUUCCGCCGUCGACUUCUGCCACAGCCGCGGCGUCUACCACCGCGACCUCAAGCCGGAGAACCUCCUCCUCGACGAACACGGCAAGCUCAAGGUCUCCGACUUCGGACUCACCGCCUUCGCCGACCACCUCAAAGAGGAUGGGCUGCUGCACACCACGUGCGGCACGCCCGCGUACGUGUCGCCGGAGGUCAUAGCGAAAAAAGGGUAUGACGGUGCCAAGGCUGAUAUAUGGUCAUGUGGGGUCAUCCUCUACGUACUCCUCGCAGGGUUUUUACCCUUUCAGGAUGAUAAUUUGGUUGCCAUGUAUAAGAAAAUUUACAGAGGGGACUUCAAGUGUCCACCUUGGUUUUCCGUCGAGGCGCGAAGGCUUGUUACCAGACUCCUCGACCCCAACCCGAAUACCCGGAUCAGUAUCUCUAAAGUCGUGGAGUCUUCCUGGUUUAAGAAACCGGUGCCGAGAAAGGUGGAAGACGUGGCGGAGAUGGAUUUGGAAGAGAAGUGUGAGACGCCCGCCACCAUGAACGCGUUUCACAUAAUCUCGUUGUCAGAGGGGUUCGAUUUGUCGCCCCUGUUUGAGGAGAAGAAGAGGGAGGAGAUGAGGUUCGCGACGGCUGGGACGCCCAGCAGCGUGAUAUCGCGGCUAGAGGAGGUGGCGAAGGCGGGGAAGUUCGAUAUGAAAAGUAGCGAGACGAAGGUGAGGCUUCAGGGGCAGGAGCGUGGGAGGAAGGGAAAGCUGGCGAUUGCGGCGGAUAUUUACUCCGUGACUCCGUCGUUUAUGGUGGUUGAAGUGAAGAAGGACAAUGGGGAUACCUUGGAGUACAACCAGUUCUGCAGCAAGCAGCUUCGUCCUGCGCUUAAAGACAUCUUCUGGAAUUCCCCACAGAAUUCCACACCUGCCAUAGUGCUUGAAUGAAUAUAUAUAUGUGUACACUUGCAUGUGAUGUCUCACUCUCAUUGUUUUUUUUUUUUUUCUUGUUUAGGAACUUUAAGUUUUUUAGACAUGAAGGUAAGAGUUGUUUAAAGUCAUAGUUUGGUCUUUUGGGCUGGCUGGACAGUGGGUGCUCUCUGUGUAGCGUGAUUCUUUU
rnacentral:lncRNA from 1 species